UAAAACCAGCUCCCCGAGUGGUGGGGACGAUUAUUGGGCUUAAAGCGUCCGUAGCCGGCUUGACAAGUCUUUCGUCAAAUCCAGCGACCCAAUCGCUGGGCCGCGGAAGAUACUGCCAAGCUAGGGGGCGGAAGAGGCCGAUGGUAUUCUUGGGGUAGGGGUGAAAUCCUAUAAUCCCAAGAGGACCACCAGUGGCGAAGGCGGUCGGCUAGAACGCGCUCGACGGUGAGGGACGAAAGCUGGGGGAGCGAACCGGAUUAGAUACCCGGGUAGUCCCAGCUGUAAACGAUGCGGGCUAGGUGUUGGAGCGGUCACGAACCGCUUCGGUGCCGCAGGGAAGCCGUUAAGCCCGCCGCCUGGGAAGUACGGUCGCAAGGCUG
rnacentral:rRNA from 1 species